UGUGGGAGCUGGCUUGCCAGCGAUAGCAUCGGGUCAGGCACGUUGAUGUCGGGAGUGCUGGCCUCAUCGCUGGCAAGCCAGCUCCCACA
rnacentral:antisense_RNA from 1 species